CACUGCCUUCUCCCAGUCCCUUUCCGCCCCUUUCUGGGCGCGGUUUCUGGAAAGCCGGUGCAUACCCUGCCGCGGACCCGCCCGGCGGGCGGUGUCCAGGGCGGGUUCCGAGUUCCAGCCUCGGGACGAGAGGGGAGGAGGCGCGGGCCUGGCCCAGUUGGCACGCGGGGUAGCCCUUCUUAGCUUCUCAGCCUUCACUCCAAGUGCUGGCUGGCUCUGCCCGCGGAAACUCGCUGGGUGCCAGCGGCAUUCCCGAGUGUGCCUCUGGCUUCCUCCAGGAGUCGGGGCGCCAGGCGCCUCAGAGCCCACCCUCCUCCCGGUUCACGCAAGGAUUCACCGCCCUGAGGACUCUCCUAAGAACCAUUCCCGCACCAAAGGGGAACGGAGGUAUGUUAGAUCCUAGCAUACUGGAGAAAGCUUUGACUGAAUUCUUGGACAAGAUACCAGACCUUGAUCCUUCCAUCUGAAAGUGGAUGUACUAAGGAUUGCUUUGGGGCCAGCACUGUGGCACAGCGGGUUAAUGCCCUGGCCUGAAGCACCAGCAUCCCAUGUGGGCACCAGUUCAAGCCCUGGCUGCUUCACUUCCUAUCCAGCUCUCUGCUAUGACCUGGGAAAGCAGUAGAAGAUGACCCAAGUCCUUGGGCCCCUGCACCCAUGUGGGAGACCCAGAGGAAGCUCCUGGCUCCUGGCUUCAGAUCAGCACAGCUCCAGCCAUUGAGGCCAUCUGGGGAGUGAACCAGUGAACCAUCGGAUGGAAGACUUCUCUCUCUUUCUCUCUCUGCCUCUUCUCUCUCUGUGUAACUCUGACUUUCAAGUAAAAUAAAUAAAUCGUUUUAGAAAACCAUAUGUUCUCCCUGAUUGGUGACAACUAACCAAACAUCAAAUAGGAAAACUGGUGAAGUGAAAUGGACACUAGCAGAAACAAUGACUUGAUCAGCCCUUGUCCUGACUGUUGAUGUACAAUUUAAUACUUUAUCCCUUUUAGUAUUUUUUGUUUGUUUGUUCUACUUAAUACUUUUGGUUGAAUACUGUAAUCAAUACACAGUUAUUCUUAGGUGUUUAAAGUUAACUGAAAAAGUGAUCUCUGUUAAAUAUAAGAGUGGAAAUAAGAAAGGGAGGGGAUGUAUAAUUUGGGACAUUCUCAAGCUGACUUGCCCCAAGUGGUGGAGUUAGAAAUGUGCCAGGCGAUUCCAAUACAAUCCCAUCAAGGUGGCAUGUACGAAUGCCAUCUCACUAGUCCAAGUGAUCAAUUUCAGGUCACAAUAGACCAUAAUGAUAGGUCUAAGAGUCAAAGGGAUCACAUAAACAAGACUAGUGUCUGAUAAUACUAACUGAUAGAAUCAAAAAGGGAGAGAACGAUCCAACAUGGGAAGCAGGAUACACAGCAGACUCAUAGAAUAGCAAUUGUCCUAAACAGCACUCUGGACUCAGAAUCAUCCCUUAAGGCAUUCAGAUCUGGCUGAAGAGCCCAUGAGAGUAUUUUAGGCAUGGAAAGCCAAGAUACUCUGGGAAAAAAAAAAAAAAAAAGAGGACCUAAAUGAAAGAUCUCUGUGAGUGAGAUCCCAGUGGAAAGAAUGGGCCAUCAGAGAAGGAGGUACCUUUCUCUGAAGGGAGGAGAGAACUUUCACUUUGACUAUGGCCUUGUCAAAAUAAGAUCAAAGACGGCAAGCUCAGGGGGCU